rnacentral:misc_RNA from 1 species
GCAUUCAAAAGUAUUUCAAUUGCUUGACCACAUCCACUUGUUAAGUAAAUAUCAUCAGGAGACAACUUGUAUGGGAGAUCUUGAGAAAGGUAUUCUGCUACAGCCCGUCUAGCAGGAAGGAUGCCGACGGUGGAUGAGUAACCGUUGAACUUAGCAGAACGAACGGCAUCAGAAAUAGCAUCUUCGGCGAUUGUUGUAGUCCGAAAACAGGGGAAAGCAGAAGGAUCGCCAUGGCCAAGAGGGAUAGUGGGUCGGGUAUCAGCAGGGUCAACACAACACCUCAACUUGUUAAGAACACUUCUUACUGUGAGAUCCGAUACACUUACCAAUUUUUCAUUCUCCUUAAAGUUCCAUCUUCUCAUCCCUGUAGUCGUACCGUUCUCCAUGCUUCUUUUGUGGCAGUGAAUUUGCAGAUAUGGAGUACAAAGUAGCAAUGGGAAUAGAAAUAGAAG